CCUACGGGAGGCAGCAGUGAGGAAUAUUGGUCAAUGGACGCAAGUCUGAACCAGCCAUGCCGCGUGCAGGAAGACGGCUCUAUGAGUUGUAAACUGCUUUUGUACGAGGGUAAACGCAGAUAGGCGUAUCGGUCUGAAAGUAUCGUACGAAUAAGGAUCGGCUAACUCAUUGCCCGCAGCCGCGGUACUACGGAGGAUUCAAGCGUUAUACGGAUUUAUUGGGUUUAAAGGGUGCGUAGGCGGUCGGAUAAGUUAGAGGUGAAAUCCCCAGGCUCAACGUGGGAAUUGCCUCUGAUACUGGUCGGCUAGAGAGUAGGUGCGGUAGGCGGAAUGUAUGGUGUAGCGGUGAAAUGCUUAGAGAUCAUACAGAACACCGAUUGCGAAGGCAGCUUACCAAGCUACUUCUGACGUUGAGGCACGAAAGCGUGGGGAGCAAACAGGAUUAGAUACCCCAGUAGUC
rnacentral:rRNA from 1 species